UACGAAGGGGGCUAGCGUUGCUCGGAAUUACUGGGCGUAAAGGGCUCGUAGGCGGCCAACUAAGUCAUACGUGAAAUCCCUCAGCUUAACUGGGGAACUGCGUGUGAUACUGGAUGGCUUGGAUUUGGGAGAGGGAUGCGGAAUUCCAGGUGUAGCGGUGAAAUGCGUAGAUAUCUGGAGGAACACCGGUGGCGAAGGCGGUUCUCUGG
rnacentral:rRNA from 1 species